AUUAUGUAUAUAUAUAUAUAUUUAUCAUAUAUUUAGUACAAAAUACAGCUAUUUUGUAUAUCUAAUAAAGGUUGUUUUUCCAGUCUGUUAUCCCUACCCUGUUUCGCAAUACCCCGUAUCGCAUAGCUAAACCCAUAUCGCAUACCCCGUAUCGCAUACCCCGUAUCGCAUGGUAAAACCCGUAUCGCAUACCUUUUUUUUUUUUUUUUUUUUUUUUUUUUACAUAAAGUUUUUUGUUGUUUUUUUUUGCUUAAGAAAAAAUUUCCUCAAAAUAGGUCAUUUUUUGAAUGACGUCAUUGUUUGGUAUGUAACGUCACGAACGUCAAGUUUUCAUAUUGUAUGUGACGUCACGAACAUCAAGUUU
rnacentral:lncRNA from 1 species